AAUGGGGGCAACCCUGAUCUAGCCAUGCCGCGUGAGUGAUGAAGGCCUUAGGGUCGUAAAGCUCUUUCGCCUGUGAUGAUAAUGACAGUAGCAGGUAAAGAAACCCCGGCUAACUCCGUGCCAGCAGCCGCGGUAAUACGGAGGGGGUUAGCGUUGUUCGGAAUUACUGGGCGUAAAGCGCGCGUAGGCGGAUUAGAAAGUUGGGGGUGAAAUCCCGGGGCUCAACCCCGGAACUGCCUCCAAAACUGCUAGUCUAGAGUUCGAGAGAGGUGAGUGGAAUUCCGAGUGUAGAGGUGAAAUUCGUAGAUAUUCGGAGGAACACCAGUGGCGAAGGCGGCUCACUGGCUCGAUACUGACGCUGAGGUGCGAAAGUGUGGGGGGCAAACAGGAUU
rnacentral:rRNA from 1 species